AGCCUCGAGUUCUAGCACUGCUCUAGUGUUGUUUUGUGAUCUUGUAGAUGACUUGAAAACUUGAAUCAUUCAUGUUGAUUGUUGAGAUUGAGUUUGAGUUGAAGUUGAAAUCAUAAUUCAACAUGUCUUCCAGUGUUUUUGUUUGUGAUUAGUUUUUGUGUAAAAAUAACUUCAAUUUUAGAAUAUUAUUACCAUGAGUAGUUGGAAGCCAGUGAGUGAUGAAAAUAGUUAUGGAAUAGUCAUUUACAAUUUCAUCUGUCCAGAAGAUUAUAAGCUAAAUUUAACAGUAGGAGAUGCCAUCCAUGUGUUGGAGGAAGAAGCCAGCUGGUACUACGGAUAUGUUGUCAGUAACAGAGAUGUUAAGGGUAUAUUUCCCAAAAGCUACGUACACAUGAGACCUUGCGAAAAGGUUGAUGCCUUUGGUCCAGUCUUAAAAGAGCCGUCCAUUACGAGAGAAAUAACUCUGGUACUCCGAGAAUGGGGGAUUCACUGGAAAAAUCUCUAUGUGAAUCACAACAGAAAUUUCGAACAAAUGAAAACACAAAUCUAUGACCUGCUAUCACAUCGAAGUAAAAUCAUUAGCGGCACACUACCCGUGGACGAAUUAAAGAGGGUGAUAAAGCAAGCGGUGGAAGAAAUAGACAUAGGAAAUAAAAUUUUAGGUUUAGAUUUAUUAGUAAGAGACAAAUGUGGCAAUUUUAUGAAUCCUAAAGAAAUUAGUACACUUCAACUGUAUUACCUGCAUAAAAGUGCGACACAGAGAAUGAAUAAUAGAUCGAAGAAAGAGGUUAAAGAUGUUCAGCCUAAAACGGCAAUCCAACAAUAUUCGAAUAUAUUUCUAGUUGCUGUAAGAAAUUUUACGUUCAAAAUGACUGAAGAUGCGGAGUUACUGAUGACUUUAUACGAUGGAAAAGAGUUUAAAUCUUUUACAGAGAACUAUGUUGUGCGAUGGACGAAGGAAGGGCUGAUGAGUGAUUUGGACCAAAUGCAUAAUUUAAGGGUUAUGUUUACGGAUUUAGGUAAAAGAGACUUGGAACGGGAGAAAAUUUACCUUGUGUGUCUUGUGAUAAGGAUAGGCGCAAUGGACACCAAAGAGUUGGACCAUAGACGGAGUUCAGUUAGUACAAAUAACAAGAAAAAUUACAAUGAAAAUAUGAGGCGACCAUGUGGAGUAGCGGCUUUCGAUAUAACGACGUUUAUGAACGGCAGACGGGAAACGGACCUGGAACAAGAAUAUGCCAUACCUUUCAUUAGUUGUGAAAAAGAUAAUCUAGAACAAACUUUAAGGAAAACAAUAACCAAAGAAAAGCCAGAACCCAAAAACCAUUCUUUAUUCGUGAGCAUGAAGCUUUUAAGAGGAGAUUUAAAGCAGGUCCGAGAGGAAAAUCCACAUCUAGUUUUGGGCAAUGUGUCCGUAGCAAGGAAAAUGGGUUUCCCCGAGGUAAUACUUCCAGGCGAUGUUAGAAACGAUUUGUAUCUAACAAUAUUGAGUGGAGUAUUCAGUAAAGGGAAUAAGAAAAGCGAUAAAAACGUCGAAGUAAUUGUUAGAGUAUGUAAUCACAAAGGACAACCCAUACCGGGAGUGAUAAGUAUUGGUGGCGGAGUAUCGUUGAUAGACGAGUACAGAUCUGUUAUAUACUAUCACGAAGACAAGCCUCAAUGGCACGAAACUUUCAAAGUAGCUAUACCCAUAGAGGAGUUCAAAACUAGUCACUUGAAGUUUAUAUUCAAGCACAGAUCAUCAAACGAAGCUAAAGACAAGAGCGAGAAACCUUUCGGCAUGUGUUACGUUAAGCUGAUGGAAGACGACGGUACGACACUCAAAGACUCCAAACACAAUCUAAUAGUCUAUAAAUUGGACCAUAAAAAAUUCGACGAGAAUAAUUUGGACUAUUUUUUGUUGCCUUCAAAGUAUGAGGAUGUUAAAGAUCAUCAGAAGGACUCGACCCAAGUGCCUGGUUUGAGCAUGUCUACCAAGGAUUCUUUUAGCAUAUCUAGUAAUAUUUGUUCGACAAAAUUGACCCAAAAUGUAAAAUUACUUGGUCUUCUAAAUUGGGCUUCCCACAAAGAAUCGCUCCUAGAAUCUCUUAAAGCUUUGAAAGAGGUUGACGGCGAGGAAGUGGUAAAGUUCCUGCAAGACAUACUCGAUGCCUUAUUUAAUAUCCUAAUGGAUAACCCAGAGACUGAUACUUAUGAUAGUCUAGUUUUUGAAAGUUUAUUGGAAAUAAUUAGUUUAGUAAGCAACGACUGGAAAUAUCAACAUUUUGAACCCGUCCUGGAUUUAUACAUCAAAGAAAGUUUUAGUGCGACGUUAGCCUACAAAAAAUUAAUAUCAGUAUUAAAAUCAAUAGUGGGAAAAGCUAGUGAUGACUCAUUAGUUUCAAACAGUCUGAUCUUCAAAACCAUGAAGUGCCUACAGUAUUUUAUGAAGUUCAUUGCCAGGAGUAGAAUUCUAUAUAAAGAACUUUACCCGGAAUAUGACUCCGAGGACGAUUUCGAAGAAAGCAUGCGAGAUCUCUUACAAAACAUUAUCUUCAUGAUGUCUUCUAGUAUAGAAUCCUUGAUUCGGGAACAAGGAGCUUGCCUUAAGUAUUUGCCAAGUAGUAUACCAGAUAUGUUGUUAAUUUUUGACCCUAAAGAAUUAAGUACAAUUUUAUACGAUAUGUUAAACAAUAUGCCAGUGGGUCGUCUCACCAAACAAAAGAUGAUGACCAUCAACGAGAUCAUCCACAGUAAGCUAUUUUUAUAUCCGGAAUGCCGGAAAAUCUUGCUGCCAAUAAUAACUGACCAAGUAAAAACGUUAUUUACGACCAAGGAGGAGGGUGUAACGAGACAAGACGGAAGGAGGCAAAACAGAUCGGUGGCCAAGGUGGCUCAGCUGCUUGGUACAACGGAACAUUGCGUCAACCAACAUGUCGGAUAUCCAGAAGAGGUUGAAUGGUGUAUAAAAAAUAUGAGCGAUAUUAUGGAAUUGUUGUUCCGGAAAGAUGUAGGUUCGACGUUUAAUGACAUAUCUGAGAUUAUUCAAUCAGCUUUGAGGACUGUCGUGCAGAGUCAUAUAAAAAUGGAGAAAGAUAAUCCACAUGCGCUUAAUGCCUCAACAACUUAUGGCCAUUGGCAUGGUACAGUGAAUUUAUGGAAUCAGAGUAAUUUAGUCGCUGUGAUGAUCGACAUAUUUAGACAAAUGACCAAUGAGCAUUACAACAAUUACAUAAACAGUUUCUCCACCAGCUUCGACAUUCUCGACUUCCUAAUGGAAAUCCUGGUGGUCUUCAAAGAACUCGUCAGUAAUUCCGUCUUUCCUAAGGAUUGGUGCGAUAUGAUCAUGCUGCAGAAUAGUAUAAUCCUUAAAUCGUUGCGAUUUUUUUCUCAUACUAUCCGAGACUGUUUUUUCCAAAAAUUCGAACACGACGCCUGGAACAAUUUUUUCCAUUGUGCCAUAGCCUUUAUGACCCAAGAAGCCCUUCAGUUGGAUAAUUUCUCGCUGAAUAAAAGGAUUCGCUUAUUGGAUCUUUUCAAGGACAUGAGGGUAGAAAUGGGCUUUGAAAUCAAGUCCAUGUGGUUUAACUUAGGUCAAAAUAAAGUUCAAUUUGUACCAUCCCUAGUAGGCCUCAUUUUAGAAAUGACUCUCAUACCUGAACCGGAACUUCGUCAAGCCACUAUCCAGAUAUUCUUCGACAUGAUGCAAUGUGAGUUCUACUCCUCCAGAUAUGCCAUCGAAAGCUACGGAGACACCAAGCGAGAUUCCUCACAUAUAAAGGCAAACUUUUCAGACUUCGAGAACGAAAUGAUCGUCAAACUGGACGCACUAUUCGAAGGAGGUAAAGGAGACCAUGACUAUAAGAAGAUGUUUCACGAUAUAAUGGUUGAUCUGUGUUCAAAACAUACCACUAUGAACGAGGAGGGGGUUAAAUUUGUUAAGAUCGUUUCGAGGUUGAUGGAGAGUUUGCUAGAAUAUAGGAAUAUUAUUACUGAUGAAAAUAAGGAAAAUACUAUGAGUUGUACAGUUAAUCUAUUGGAUUUUUAUUCAGAAAUAAACAAAAAAGAAAUGUAUAUAAGAUAUUUGAACAAAUUAUAUGAUCUCCAUUUAGACUGUGAUAACUUCACCGAAGCUGCAUAUACACUGGAACUACACACAAAACUCUUGAAUUGGUCGGACGAAUCUUUAAGUUCGUUGUUGAAGGGUGAUAAAAAUAAUGCCAAAACGCACAGACAACUUAAAGAAGAAUUGUAUUAUAGAAUAAUUGAAAAUUAUAGUAAAGGAAAGAUGUGGGAAUGUGCAAUAAAGAAGUGCCAGGAAUUAGCAGAGCAAUACGAACAAGAGACGUUCGACUACGAGCGUCUUAGCGAUCUCCAUACCAGAAUGGCUGUGUUUUAUGAUGACAUAAUGAAGAAAGCUCGGGCUGAGCCUGAGUAUUUUAGAGUCGGGUAUUACGGUAAAGGAUUUCCGCAGUUUCUCAGAAACAAAGUUUUUAUCUACAGGGGCAAGGAGUACGAGAGAUUGGCUGAUUUUAAUGCUAGGAUUUUAAAUGAGUUUCCCAAAGCUGAACUGUUGAAUAAACUGACGCAGCCCGGGGAAGAAAUCAUUGGAUCUGAUAAGCAAUACAUUCAAAUAAAUAAGGUGGACCCCGUUAUGGAUGAGAAAAAACAAAGGUUUUCAGGAAAGCCGAUUUCAGAUCAAAUAGUGAAAUUCUACAGAGUGAACAAUAUACAAAAAUUCACAUUUUCGAGACCGUUUACCAGGAAGGAUUCUCUGAUUGAAAGUACAAAUGAAUUUGCCCAUCUUUGGUUAGAGAGAACAGACUUAGUUACCACGUAUCCUCUUCCUGGAAUCUUGCGAUGGUUUCCUGUAGAACAUACUCAAUUACAUGAAAUUUCCCCAUUAAGAAACGCCAUAGAAACAAUGGAAAGAACCAAUAAAACUCUGAUGAAUUAUGUAAUACUUUACAAUAAAGAUAAAAAUAUGCAGAUAAACCCGCUGAGUUUAACAUUAAAUGGUAUUUUGGAUGCUGCUGUUAUGGGUGGAAUUAAAAAUUACGAAGAUGUAUUUUUUACCUCUAACUACGCAACUCAUCAUCCUGAAGAUAAAAUAUUGAAUGAAAAAUUGAAAGAUUUGAUAGCGGAUCAGAUUCCUCUUUUGGAUCUUUGCGUACAAAUACAUAAGCAGAAGGUUCCUGAAAAUCUUAAACCUUUGCAGAAGAGAUUAGAGGAAUGUUUUGCCCAGAUGAAAGAGGCUGUGGAGGAAAAAUAUGGAAAAAGGGACUGUGAUGUAAAAUUAGAAAAUGAAGUACAAAUGAGACGCCACUAUAGUAUAACUAGUGACAGCAGACUUUCAGAUAUAACUAUAACACCUGAAAAAAAUCACUAUUUGGCGAAUAGCAGAAGCACAUUUGCUUAAAAUAACCCUCUAUUUUAAGAUUACAUUCCUAAUAUUAUUAACAGUUUUUCUAUUAGCUUACAAAUAAUAAUGGUUUAAAAUCUGGGAUUUAGGUUUUUACGUAAAUCCGCUCACAACAGUCACAGCAAGAGCAUAAGUUACUCACCUUCGAAGAGUUUGACAGGUACUCCAAGUCUGGGUGUCAAGAAGUCGCACAAACUUUCAAAGGAGAAGCGUAGGUCCAGUAAGACUGAC
rnacentral:misc_RNA from 1 species